GGAUUUUAAUUGUAUCUUAAUAGAAGCCAGAGAUCUAUAGUUGGAGAGGAGGAAGGAGAUCAUUCCAAGCAUGGGAGACAGCCAGAGAAGAAGACAGGAGCUGAGUCACUUCCUGUCAGAGGGACUUUGGCAAUGGAACUUGGCUUGGAGGGCUGGAGUGUGGGACCUCAGACUGCUUUCCCUGAGACAACCACAUAAUGAGAAUACUGAGGCUCAGAUGAUUUAAUUGACUUGACUCUCCUCCUAUCAGUCCUGCUGAUUCUAAGUCCAGCACUCAUCUUCUAUCUUCUAAUCUUUUUUAGUAAAUCAUUUCAGGUGAAUAUUAUAUUAUUUAAAAGUGGCAUUUAAAGUUUCUUUGAAAGUUGUUUGCUUACUUUCAUCUUUCAGGCAUCAGAACAUUUAAAUUUCUUAUUUAUUUAAAAACCCAGUUUUGGGCACAACAUAAUAGGCUAAC
rnacentral:lncRNA from 1 species